rnacentral:lncRNA from 1 species
CAUCAUAAAAUUAUAGAGUGUGUGAGUUUGUUUUUCAUAAGGGAUGUGAGGUCUUGGGUGGGUGGCCUUCCUAGGUGUGAGAGAUUAGAAGAGUUCUUCCCCCUCUUGGAUGAGUGAAAAUCUAGAUCUGAUUCUAGGGUUUUGGGAAGAGAGAAAAGCGAGAAGAAAGUUCUCAUCUUUAUCUUUUUCCAUCACCACAUCCUCCUCCGUGUUCCAUCUUCAGAUCUGGAAGAGUCCGGGAGAUCCAAAGAGAGGAGUAGAUCAGUCAUGUAGAAGGUCUUCGUGUGAGCUAGCAUUCUUGGAGAAAUCAAUCAGCACAGUGCUUUGAGUGGACCAUCCAUAGAGGUCAGACAUCCUGUACGACUGCGAGCAACCAGUAAGACCUCAAGUUCUCGUGAUUCAGACAUGGUGAUCUACUACCCGCGCUAAGAUAUCAAGUUCUGAACUAGAUAGUUAUGUAGAUGUGAUCUACGGAUGCAUGUUAUAUAUGAUCAUGUAUGCAGAUUUUAUUUUCAGAUCAUAUACAUGUAUUUUAUCAUAUUAUAGAUCCUAAGAUAGAAUUUUUAGAUAUGAUCUAAAACAUGUUUAUUAGAUUAAAUUGUUUAAUCUAAUUCUAUUCUACUGUAUAAUUUUUUGAAAUUACAUGCUUGAAGC